GACAGAGGGUGCAAACGUUGCUCGGAAUCACUGGGCGUAAAGGGCGUGUAGGCGGGUAGAUAAGUCGGGCGUGAAAUCCCUAGGCUCAACCUAGGAACUGCACUCGAAACUGUUUAUCUUGAGUGCCGGAGAGGAAAGCGGAAUUCCUGGUGUAGAGGUGAAAUUCGUAGAUAUCAGGAGGAACACCGGUGGCGAAGGCGGGUCUCUGGGCCGAUACUGACGCUGAGGAGCGAAAGCGUGGGGAGCGAACAGG
rnacentral:rRNA from 1 species